UGCUGUGUACCUGGAGACCCCCAGGUCUCCAGGGGUCAAACCACACCCCACAGGCACCUUGGAAGAAGAAAUCCACAGGAGGAAAAAAAGAAGAUUUGCUGAGCACCUACUAUGCAUCAGACGCUGUGUUCUAGGCAAGGGGGAUACACCUGAUGGAAGAAGGUCCUUCCCUAGACGUAGCUAACAUCCCAGUGUGGGAGAUGACACGAAACAGCAAACUCCCCACAACAGCCUCCUCAACGCUGCCUCCCACAGUGCUUGGACAAAAUAAUUACAGCAAGAUGCGGGCACUGAGCUGACUCCUUAUGUAGGACAUCCCAGUGCAGAUGUGCCCCACCUAAGUGCUGACAGCCUAAAAGUCCACCAUUAAAGCCAUUCUUCGGGUUUAAGGCAUUGAUCUUCACCAUCAUCUCCCAUUAUUAUAUCUGCUUGCUCUCAUGGAGACAGGGGUCACUG
rnacentral:lncRNA from 10 species